UGGGGAAUUUUGGACAAUGGGGGAAACCCUGAUCCAGCCAUUCCGCGUGAGUGAAGAAGGCCUCCGGGUUGUAAAGCUCUUUCGGCAGGAACGAAACGGUUUGGGCUAAUACCCCAGACUACUGACGGUACCUGAAGAAGAAGCACCGGCUAACUACGUGCCAGCAGCCGCGGUAAUACGUAGGGUGCGAGCGUUAAUCGGAUUUACUGGGCGUAAAGCAUGCGCAGGCGGCGGUUCAAGUCAGGUGUGAAAUCCCCGAGCUUAACUUGGGAAUUGCGCUUGAAACUAGAUCGCUAGAGUACGGCAGAGGGGGGUAGAAUUCCACGUGUAGCAGUGAAAUGCGUAGAUAUGUGGAGGAAUACCGAUGGCGAAGGCAGCCCCCUGGGAUAACACUGACGCUCAUGCACGAAAGCGUGGGGAGCAAACAGGAUUAGAUACCCCCGUAGUCCCUGAGCGGGCUGGCAAGGCGCAU
rnacentral:rRNA from 1 species